rnacentral:tRNA from 1 species
GCAGUGGUCGUUCAGUGGUAGAAUUCUCACCUUCCACGUGGGAGACCCAGGUUCAGUUCCCAGCCAAUGUA